rnacentral:lncRNA from 1 species
GCUGUUGUUACUGCUUAUGUUUCCUUAAAUGCUGUGAUUAUGCUUUCCUUGAGCUAAGGGUCUAUUCGAGACAACCUCACCUGCACCCAAAGUAGGGUAAGGUCGUGUACACUCUACUGUCUCCAUAACGCCACUUGUGGGAUUACACUGGGUUGGGUAUCGCAAUUGUUGUUGUCGUUCUAAAUUUCAGCAAGUAUUUGUUAGCAAGGUAAAUCCUAAUGCAAGAAGAAUUUAGACACAAUGAAGAAGGAUUCACCAGACCUUCUAGCAUUUGCAAUUGUAAAUGCUUCCAAGGCCCACUUUGAAUAGAUAUAAUCUCCUACUAUCGCAGUGAACUUACUGUCCUUGCUUGGUACAAGGGUCAAGACAACUGGAAGCAACACCGACCACUGAAAGACACAUCAGUUUGUUAGUAGAGAAUUGCGGCAAUAGAGGAUAACGUUUGGAGUUGAUAUGUAUUGUAUGAUCAAAGUACCGAGUACACACCAGUUGAGCCUGACCAGGUUCAAAGUAGAUGGCAAGUGCAUAAGCUAUCCCAGUAACACAAUAUACAACACAAAGCAAGACGAGAUAGUAAUCCAAAAUUGAAGAUCUUGGAUUGUUGAAGAAGUAGAACAUUGAUAGAUAAACUGCAGGCUUUACAAUAGUAUUGAUAUGAUCAACGGUAUCUUUAGCCAUAAAGUAUGCCAAACUGCUCAUGCCAGAUGCACUCUCUCUCCAGUAGUGUAAUUUAUCUAGAGAAAAUGACCUCAAAGACGCAAUCUUGAUGAGAAGAGCUGCAAAACAUUUUGGAAGGUAAGAACUUAGGUAAAGUGAAAAAUGGUAAUGAAGAUAUAUGAAACUAACAGUAACAAUCUUUCAUAUAAGUUUGUAAAACCAUAAAAAGAUACAAUACCAAAAUAAGUACUACGCGCAGGUCUAGGGAAGGGCCUGACCACAGGGAUCUAGUGUACGCAGCCUCACUUUACAUUUCUACAAGGGAUUGUUUCCAAGGCUUGAACCCGUGAUCUCCUGGUCACAUGGCAGCAACUUACCAGUUACUCCAAGGCUCCCCUUCAACUCAUUAUUGGUACCAACAUUUACGAAUUGUUAGCAUUAAGAAAGAAGCGGAAUUACAAGUGAUAACAUCGAGAUGAAGUGCAUGAUUUUAAAAUCUGGAACUUUUUCUCCUAAAUUUGCAAACAUAGCUAAUCAACUGUCUUUAAGUCAUCAGUCCUCUUAAAGAUAAAAUGCUGAAGUAUAUACACUGUUCAGUGGUUUUGAACUUACGAACUGCAAUGACGGUGUAAAGGUACCCCAUAAAUCCAAAUGAUUCAUCACUCAUGUCAGCAAGUGUUCUCAAACAGAUUCCAGCAAGUAACAGAAUAAGACAAUCAACUGCUUGUAGCCUGGCUUCUCGCAAUCGCUGCUUCCCGACUCUGACAAUGUGAAGUAUCAUAGAUGUCAACCAUCAAAACAAAUGCAAACGCAAAAACAUUUGUAUAUCAACUAAAACUUUCACAUGAAUACCCCCCCCUAAGUGUCCAUGGAAGCAGCCUCACCUUAAAUUUCUGCAAGGGGCUGUUUCCACGGCUUGAACGCGUGACCUCCUGGUCACACGGAAGCAACUUUACCAGUUACUCCAAGGCUCCCCUUCAUAUAAAAGAAAGAAGUACAACGGAGAGUUGCCAAACAUUUGCAUAUAGGACUGCAAGCAUGAAUUAAACACAUACACACACACAUCUUGAAAAAUAAUUAGAUGGUAUACAAGUGAAAAGGAGAGAAACUUAUUAUUACCUUACAAGGAAAUACUUAUAUUGAAGCAAUACACCAGGGGUUUUCCGAUGGGACAAGUCCGACCAUGCCAAAAAGUUGAAUCUCAUGCGGUCCUUCUUCUGUGCAACAUUGGAUUUGAUAUCUGACCACAGAUCUCCAGAUUGAUCGGAAGUAGCAGCCGCAGGACUUGCUCCAUCAGCUGAAUUUUCUCCAACCGAAGAUGCUUGUGAUCCAGAAGAAUCUAGCGUAUCUGGUGGUAUGGGGUAUCCGUUAUGAAUCAUCCAUCUAACAGGAAGAUCUUUAUAGUUCAGUCCUGUGCUCGGGAGUUUAUAAAUUCCUUCUAAAAUAUCAAUGAAAUGAUCUGGAGGAUUAACGCGAUCAGGUACAGUAAUUCCAAUGCCUGCAAAGUACUCUUCAACUGUCUUUACUGGUCCAUGAUAUACGGUAAGGCCGCCCUUGGCUAGAAGUACCAAAUCGUCAAACAUUCUGAACAAAGAAUAGCUGAAAAAGGAAGUGAUUACUGAGAUAGGGUGUCAAAAUUAAAGCGAUUUGAAAGAUCAUCGUUAUGCUGGAGGAAAAACUACUUAAAGUUAUAUGAUUAUAAUUCCACAUGUUUUGUGAUUGCAAUAUGUUCAAUGAGUGCGAGGACAAACAAAAAGAUAAAGCAAUAGAUAAAAGACAACAUGAUAACCACCAAGGAAUGCAAAUGGAAGAAGAUGAAUAGAGUAAGACCAAAAAGACUUAGAGGCUAUCAUUCGCAACAUUACCUUGGCUGGUGCACCACCAUGCAUACGUUCACUCCUUCAAUAGCUUCCCGACGAGUAGCUCUGAGUAACAAUUGAGAUGAAGAGCUAUCCAAACCAGAAGUUGGUUCAUCUAAGAUUAACAAAGAAGGUUCCAUAACCAUUUCCCGCCCAACGUUGACUCUCUUCCUCUGACCCCCAGAGAUGCCUCGCUUCUCCACUGUCCCCACGAGAGAAUCUCUCACAGGUUGCAAUCCCAGGGACUCUAUCACUCUUUCAACAACUAAAACCUUUUCUGGUUUAGGCAAAUCAGAUGCCAGUCUGGAAGAGUGAUUCAACAAAGAAGAGUAGACUAGAGUCAGUCGUCAUAUGAAUAUAGUAGUAUCGAAAAAACAGCAGGCUAACAAGUGAAAGCAGUAGCAAAAAAGCAAACUAACUUCCUUUUGUAUAAUAUAAGCUGGUCAUAUCUCUGCCUAGUUUGUGUUUUGACAACAAUAGAUGGCACGGAGGUUUCAGACCCUCACAUGAAUACUUCGAAAGUUUCAUUGACAAGUGUCAGUCAGUGGUUCCUGAUAAUAAGGGUAUGCAUGUAGCAGUCCAGAGUACGAAGGAAAAAGAAAUGCAUGACCUUUCCAAAGAACAAACUACUGGAAGCUGUCACCACCAAAACGUAGACUGAUGGUUGAAGUCAUGAAACUUAUGAAGUAAAAGAAUGCCAUGCGAAAAAUGAUGUUAUAUGAAUGCAUAGAUUCGUAAUAAUAGAACUACAAUAGCAUACCUGCACCGAGCACUAAACCAAAGAUUCUCCUCCACAGUUAAAUUUUCAUGUACUAUGUCAUCUUGAGGUACAAAGCCAAUGAUUUUCUUGUAUGACUGCACUGGUUCAGGCUUCCCAUUUAUGAGAAUCACUCCGAUCACGGUACACCCAGCAGCCUUCCCAGUCAAUGCAGAAAGAAACGUUGUCUUUCCAGCACCAGAUGGACCCAUAACAGCCGAAACACGGCCAGGUGAUAAUUUCCCUGAUACACACCUCAAUAGAUGCUUGGUUUUACCCUUCAAAGUAAGUGUCAAAUCUUUGAAACACACCUCAAUAGGAGGUCUAGUUCUAAUCUCAAUAGCACUUGCCAUCGAGAUUACACCAGAAAAUGUCAAAUCCUUAUUCUGCUCCUGCAAUGCUUUUUCUUUCUCAAUUUGACCAUACGCAUAUUUAAAGAAGAAGCAAGUUAUCGGAGAAGCUUGUUGGUUAGUUGUAACUUGUUAGAGAUGAAAAUCUUAAAAAAAAGGGCAGCGUGGUGCACUAAAGCUACCGCUAUUCACGGUGUCCGGGGAAGGGCUCCACCACAAGGGUGUAUUGUACGCAGUCUUACCUUGCAUUUCUACCAAGCUGUUUCCAAGGCUUGAACCCGUGACCUCCUGGUCACAUGGCAGCAACUUUACCAGCCUUAGCUUACGAGAAGAAAAUGUAAAAUGUUAUAUCUCGUGCGAUCUGUCCUUCUUUUGGGUUCAGUUAUGUUGUUUAUGCAGCCGUUACUCUACUAUUAUUUGAAAAAGAUAAGUAGAAAUUAUGUCCAGACUAAUCCCUCCCAUUUCCUCCUCCUUCUGUAAGGAAACAGCGGACAUUAGCUAAAGACAAAUCUGUUCUUUCUGUCAUGCAUUUCUCACUUUACUUCUCCCGCGUCAAGCCUAAAAAGUUUAAGACAUGCACGACCAUACUAGCUAACAAUCCAGGAACAUUAUGACAUUAUCUCAAAAGUAAAACCUUAUAUAGAUAAUCAAUAUUUGCACAGCCUAGGAGUGAGGAGAUGACUUACAAAAAACAUAAUACCAUAAGCUGUGAUAUUUUGAUUACUUGACUUUGAUUCACAAAUAGCUAACUUAUAGCAGCCUGCAUGUCCAUAAUAAUAGAUAAAUUCUUGAUCACGAUGAUGAUGAUGAUGGCAAUGUUAGAGCAUAAAAUAUUUCCAAAAAUAGAAAAGAACAUGUAGUGAGUUGUUACUUGAUACUAUAACUUUUCAUCUUGACGUAUUAUCUUCAAGUUACAAAUAACACAUAUUCAGUAACAUGACAACUAUAAGAUGUACCAUCUUUCUCAUAGUAGAGAAGAACGCGAGGCACAUCCCACUACCAAAAUAGUAAUCUUGUUAACGUGGAUGUCCAACAUGCUCUUAUCUUGAUACGUCUUGCUCAUUUCUAGUAAGAAUUAUUGGAUAUGCAUCUAGCAUAUUUUAACAGUACUAGAAACCUAGGCAAAGAAGACAAUUGGAUAUAGUUUUCCUUUUUGUAUUUCACUUGGAACCUGACAAGCUGCUACGUCACGCCAAGGAGAUUUCUUUUUUCCAGUGUGUGUGUGUGUUCUUUUUCCUUUCGUAUUUUGCUUUAGAAAUAUGGUAAAAGUGAGACAACACAACCAAACAGGCAUUUUUACUAGUACGAUAUAUCUAAAAGGAUCAAAUAAGUCAUUAUUACGUGUUUAUUCAAAGUCAAAGAUAAGAAAUGAAGCAACAAAGAACCUAAUACAGAGACAAAACAGACUGUCACAUGAGAUGAAGACUUACUUGUUUGAGACGUAGAACCAGUUCUACAGUAAUGCCUGGAAAAAAAGCAAAAACAAACAGUAUGAUAAGCGAAUGGAUUAGCAUGAGCUUCUAAUAUGAGCAAAAGGAUGAACAAGUUAAACAGAAAUAGCAUUUUGCGGGGAAAGAGAAAGCACGGUGAGAUACAUAUUCUCCGGUUUUGGGAUAAAUAUAAUUACCCUUUAUUGCAAGGUAAUUUCAGGGCAGUAGUUGGACAGUAAUAUCCUGAUGGACAAAAGAUUUCAGUAGUACUCCGAACAUCAGCCCAAACUUCUGCUCCACUGCAACUAUGAUUUAUCUGCCCUGGAGGAGGUUGAUAAUGGUACCUGCAUAUUUUGAGACAGGAAAUAUGAGUUGAAGGAUGCAAAAAGAAUACGGUCAAGUAAGAAUAAGAACUACAUAAGAUGUACGAAACUUAUGGGUCACACACACCAGUCUCGCUAUUGAGUGUUGAAAGAGGGCAAAACGCGCCUAGUGGACAAGCUUCAACCAGAAAAUAGGAAAAUAAACAAACAUAAAACUGAUACGAACGAGAGAAUCAACUUAUAGAAUUAUGCCAAAGGUGCAACUUGUGAUUUUGCCAAAGCAAAUUGUUUGAGCACAUCUACUUCAGAUAGUGGCCAUGAUUUCAAUGACUAUAAGAUAAUAUUCUUGUAGAUACUUACGUAUCAUGCAGGUGAGACCACGAGGACAGAAGAAACCUUCACAACAAGGUUCACACUCAAGAAUUCUAAGUGGCAUUUUGUUUAAAUCAAGGUCAACCGGAUUGUCUCCAAUGCUACAAGCCCAUCCUGGCUCACAUCCAUUAACCCAUGAUGAUAGAUUACAAUUUGUGUAGGUUUCAGGUUACCUCUUCCACCGCCUUUCAUUAAAAGUUGAGAAUAGAACUUUAACUCCGGUGCUGUAUACAAGCGCCUUAGUAUAUCACCUAUUCAACAACCGAAGACGUUGUGAAUACGAAAAUAAAGACAGUAGAACCCUGGAUUAUCAUGAUGUACAACGUAUACAACAUUAUGAACUAGAAUAGCAGACCUCGAACUAGAAAAAAUACAACCUCAGAGAAUCUUAACCAGAAAAUUAGUACCUUGUGUUUUUUUAAUGCAAUCUGUUAAAAAAUCUGUGUUCUCGCUGAAAUUAAAAGCUUUAUUCCAUUCAGCAUCCCUACAACACGAUCAGAAUUCAUCAACUGAAAAUUAGCUUUCUCUUUAGACGAAUUGUCAAAGACAACACUAUCAAAGAUGAAUUGUCAAAGACAACGCUAUCACAACUAAAGUGAAACAAGAUUUUGGAAAAGCUUUUGCCGGUUGGCUUAAUGACAUAGGAAUUGAAGAAUAUAACCUUUCCUAAAGCAACAUAAGAGACCGUUUUCGAGACAAUUUUUCAAUUAUGAGACAAUUGUUACUGCUUAUGUUUCCCUAAAUGCUGUGAUUAUGCUUUCCUUGAGCUAAGGGUCUAUUGGAGACAACCUCACCUGCACCCAAAGUCGGGUAAGGUCGUGUACACUCUACAGUCUCCAUAACGCCACUUGUGGGAUUAUACUGGGUUGGGUAUCGCUAUUGUUGUUGUCGUUCUAAAUUUCAGCAAGUAUUUGUUAGCAAGGUUAAUCCUAAUGCAAGAAGAAUUUAGACAGAAUGGAGAAGGAUUCACCAGACCUUCUAGCAUUUGCAAUUAUAAAUACUUCCAAGGCCCACUUUGAAUAGAUAUAAUCUCCAAC